UACGUAGGUGACAAGCGUUGUCCGGAAUUACUGGGCGUAAAGCGUGCGUAGGCGGUCUCUUAAGUCCGUUGUGAAAGCCCUGGGCUCAACCUGGGAACUGCAGUGGAUACUGAGAAGCUAGAGUGUGUCAGAGGAUGGUGGAAUUCCCGGUGUAGCGGUGAAAUGCGUAGAGAUCGGGAGGAACAUCAGUGGCGAAGGCGGCCAUCUGGGACAACGCUGACGCUGAGGCACGAAAGCGUGGGGAGCGAACAGG
rnacentral:rRNA from 1 species